ACUCGAGUGGCGAACGGGUGAGUAACACGUGGGUGAUCUGCCCUGCACUUCGGGAUAAGCCUGGGAAACUGGGUCUAAUACCGGAUAGGAGCCAUUUUUAGUGUGAUGGUUGGAAAGUUUUUCGGUGUAGGAUGAGCCCGCGGCCUAUCAGCUUGUUGGUGGGGUGAUGGCCUACCAAGGCGACGACGGGUAGCCGGCCUGAGAGGGUGACCGGCCACAUUGGGACUGAGAUACGGCCCAG
rnacentral:rRNA from 1 species